rfam:Ictidomys tridecemlineatus contig014907, whole genome shotgun sequence.
GGGGUUGUGGCUCAGUGGUAGAGCACUCACCUAGAACGUGUGAGGCCCUGGGUUCAAUCCUCAGUAUCACAU